UUUUCAAGAAAGUCCAGUUGAGAUCUUUAUAAGUUACAAAAAUUGAGAUAGAAAUCAUGAAAAUGCAACCCUAUAAAAAGUUAAUACAGCAGUCAUCAACAAUAAAACUUGAUUGUUUAAGAAGACAACUCAUUUAAAAGUAAAAUAGGUGCCCUGGUGAACUCAAGUAUUUUUCAUAUUCCUUACAGUUUAAAUGUUUUAUUGAGAAAGAAACAGGAAAACUCGUAAGCAUCUAAAUUGCAGCUUCAUUUACUAUCCAACAGGGAAACCAAAGGUUAAUCAUCUAAUUACAAAGGGGAAAUCAUCUCAGCUAACAUUAGAUGUCUACAGUUAGACAUGUCUGACUUCACCAGUCAUCCUACACUCCUUUUGUAGUCAGUGGAGAGAAACAGUCUUGUGGAUGUAAUUUUCUUUUUUUUUCCACUUGUUCUCUUAAUCUUCUUCAGAGAAAUUUCUCUGAAGGGGUAUUUUAUUUCUCUACUAAUUCCAGCAUAGCAGGCUCUAAUUAAAUUAGUAGCUCUUGGGCAACAAGGACUUAAAGUGUCAGCAUUAGGUUUAACGUUGUCAUGCAUCCUAUAUGAAGUGUCACACUUCUCACAGAGUUUCACAUUAAGUAAAAAAAUAUGAAGAUAAAGGAAGACAGCUGGGUCCACAGAAGCGGCAGAGCUGAAGUAAAUAGAUAUAUGUCUUGUUCAUUAGCUGUAUGCAAUUAUUUUGAGACUGGUCCCACUCAUUAUACAAACAGCAUAGGGCUGAAGUAUGAAGAGCCCUUCCAAACAGCUUCUCCCACCAGAUGAGUGAGGGAGACACAUAUUCUAUCAUGUGUUUUAUUACAGUUGAGCAAAUAAUUGUAUGCAGAAGAAAAUUACUAUAUUUCAAAAUUUGUUCUCUAAGAAAGGUGAAAAGUCAAGGUAGUCUCACAGGUCUGUCACUGUGUUUACAUGCCUAACUGUGCUUUGAAUUAAUAGUUUCCUCUGAAUACACUAUGAAUGGUGAAAAUUGCUUUUGCUCCUCUUCAUUAAAAAGCAUGACGCAUCUAAAAUGGAUUUUAUCAUACACAAGACCUAUUUUUGACAAAUUUAUCUGUUCAGAGAUAAAUAUGAAAAUACAGGCAGUGAGGUUUUUUUAGUUCAAAUGAAAUUUUGUUUUUAAAUACAAAUGUUGUAUUAAAGGUAAUUGCAGCAAACAAAACAUUAACAAUGAAAAAUAAAAGGUAGACAUUAUUAUCUACCUACUUUUAAUGAUUUGCUAUUACUAUUGAGCAUUAUUUCCAUUAUCUCCGAGUAUCAGAACAACUAGCACUUCGCUGUAAUCAGCCUUCAUUCAAAAGUGACAUUUUUAUCUAAUUUGCACUCUCCCAGUUAAACAAUAGUCUGGAUAAAUAAAAAUUAGAUCUAGAUGGUAUUUCUGAAGUUUAAAGCAAGUAGAAGUGCUUUGCUUUUGUAAAUAGUGGCUAGCUUGUGGAAGGCAGGUAUAACUCCAGAAAACAGUUUGACACACCUCUGUCCCAAGUCUUCAGCUAAGCCUGUUUCAUUGAAAUAGUUGGCAAUUGAUUUAUUUAGGUCACUUCUCAGAUUUUACUGCUUUCUAUUAAGCAGUCCUUUCUAUUUUAUGCUGAUCCGAUAGUCAGCAUGUUUUACUAAUUCCUGCCACAUCAGGCACAUAGACUGAGGUUGUUUUUUGAUUUUUCCAUUAGCUGCUAAUAGAUCUAAAAGCGUUCUGCAUUAUUUUCUUUACCACCCAAUUUAGACAGUUAUUUAGUUUCACCAGAUUUGCAAUGAUGUUUAUUGUUACUUUGGCAGAGCUUGUUCUAACUUUAUUUGGUCACAAAGAUUUCUAUAUACCUUUCUUUGGCACCUGUGUUUACAAACAAAAUUUCAGGAAUUAGUUAGAAAUUUGUAAUGUUCUUCACAAGUUUGUUAAGAUAAAACCAGUAAUAUUUUACACCUUAAUGUACGUGGAAAAAAAAAAAAAAAAAAGGGAGGGAAAAAAAAAACCUAACCAGCAUUUGAAUUGCACAUUUUUUUCCAUUUUAUGAGAGACUUGUUUUAAUUCUUAAAUUUGGGUUCAAUUAGUUCAAAGCCGCUAAGAACAAUGACUACUUAGUGUGUGUUUUAACUUGUACAUAACUGUUUUCAAUACACACUAGAACUCAGGUGCAGUUGCAAAAUGCAAAUUAUCCAUUGACUUUCCCAAUGGUCUGUCCAAUUAAUCAUGCACAGAAGGUCAUUUGGCAUUCAGCAGACAGUGCUCGACUUUGUGAAUUUUUUUUGUAGCAUUCAUUCCCUUGGUGUUAGCAGAUCCACUGCAGUAAGCCAGAAUGCAUUAAGUCAGUGGUAAAGAAAACAGUGUUAUGGACCUGACCAGUACAGUUUAUUUCAAGUACCAUAAGAGGUGUAAGACUUCCAUAUUUGAUACCGUAUCACCCUAGAAGAUGCAGUUCUUGUUACUUUCUAUUUUUCAUUAUGUUGCUUAAAAAGCCACAAGACAGAUCACCUUAAUUUUAAGAAAUAGAAGUAGAAUCACAGAAUUGUUUUGAUUGUAAAAUGCCUCCAGGAUCAUCACAUCCAAGUGCCAACCCGACACUGCCAAGUCCACCCCCAAAUCAUAUCCCUAAGAGCCCCAUCUUUAGGUCUUUCAAACACCUCUGAGAAUGGUGACACAACCACUUCCCCGGGCAGCCUUUUCCAAUGCCUGCCAACCUUUUCAAUGAAGAAUUUUUUCCUAUUAUCCAAUUUAAAACUCCCCUGGAGCAAGCUGGCGACAUUUCCUCUUGUCCUACCACUUGUUACUUGGGAGAAGAGAACAACACCCUCCAUUCUACAACCUUUUUUCAGGUAGUUGUAGAGCGUGAUAAGGUCUCCUCUCAGCCUUCUUUUCUCCAAGCCAAACAACCCCAGAUCCCUCAACCGCUCUUCAUCAGACUUGUGCUCCGGAUCCCUCACCAGCUUUGUUUCCCUUCUCUGAACUUUCUCCAGCACCUCAACGUCUUUCCUGUAGUGAGGGGCACAAAACUGAACACAGAAUUCGAAGUGCAGCCUCAUGAGGGCUGAGUAAGUGAGGAGAUCACUAAUAAGUUUUGCAGGAACCUCAUGUUAGAACACCAGCAACAAAUAAUUUAUUCUCCAUUCUAAGAAGCUUUAUGAAGAUGCAAAACUUUACAGAGGCACCAAAACUGUUUCCCCCUUCACACACCAAAAUAAAAUGCUUUUACUGCUUCUUCAAAUACAAUAGAUCAUUUGGUUUCCUUUUACCUUCUGACUUGCUCUUCAUGGACAGUAUUCUUGCCAUUUACUAAUGGUAUAUUUUUAAUGACCGUAACACAGAUGGUGUGCACCCAGAAUAUAGAUAACCACAUUUUUGGAGACUGUAACAUUCUCAUACAGAAGAAAGAACUGAUAUCAUGAUGAGUAAGGAAACAAUUUUGCAUAGGUUUCUGGAAAAAACUGAAAAUAUCCUAUUUUAAGAAGAGCUAUAGUAAAGAUGCUUAGAAAUGAAACAACGCAAAAUAGUCAAGAUGAAAAUUACUUACUCAGGUCUAGUCAGACGUAUUUUAGAUUAGAUCGUGGUUUUAUUGUUGUCUCAGCUGGGGGAAAUCCCCAUGCUAAAUGAAGUGCUAGUCUACUGCCCAUGGAACACAGGUUAUGUAUUUUUAAAUAAAAUGAUACUGUUUUAAGUAACAACUGUUUGUAAAUUCUAAUGCAGCAAACAUCCUGCUACUUUGAUUGUAUUGCAAGAAUAACAGAAAAGACCAAAUUUGUACUCUCCAGAACCCACUCUACUCCUCUGUAAAUAAUUAACACCAAAUUGAAGUUGGAAAGUGUCUGAUGACCUAGUAAGUCCCCUCAGGCACUGUGUCCACCUGUAGCCCUCUGGUACUCCCCACAAUAAAUAAAAAAAAUAGAAAAAAAUUAUAGAUCCCACUUCUAAUAAGACAACCAAACAACACAAUAAAGAACCAUAAAGCUCAUAAUCAAGAAUCAUAUUUUUUCUUCAUUCACAGCUCUCUUUCUGACCAAGUCAGACCACAGACUAUCAUAUUUACUUUUGGUUUAAGUGUUGAAAGUGCAUCUGUGCUCAAGACCAAGUUGGACUUUUUUACUAGGAAAGACUUAACAAAGCCAAACUGUAGUCAAACUACAGGUUAUGCCACCUGGGUAUACAGCGUAAGUUAUUCAGAGCUCAGUCAGUUCCUGCUGUUUAUUGCUAUUUGUAGAGCUUAGUUAUGUGAACAUGAAAUUUUCCUUUCAUAAAGGAUUCCCAUGCCAGUAAGGAUGAACUGAUUGCUUUUCAACUAUCUACAUGCAUGUAUUAACCUUAUUAAUAUGCUUAGAAAAAUUAAUUUUAAUCUUUUUAACCUGAUGCAUGUGAUCUGUUUAUAUACACAUGCAUCUAAGUAUAAAACAAUAGUUAGGCCUAUAAAAAUGCCAGGGAAAUUUCUUAGAAUUUUGGAUCAACAUCACAAAGCUUUUAGGGAAUCUAUUGAGAAUUUUUCUUCAAAAUCACUUUCAGAUGCUUAGAAACUGAAUACUAGUCAAACAGAAAACUACAAGUUAAAAAUAAUUUUCAGGAUAUAACAUCAUAACCUUUUUGUAAUUCAAUGAUGAAACAUUUUCCAGUCAACAGUAAUGACUAAAAUAUAAACCAAAUAUUGAAGAGAAGUUUAUACUUACAGAGAUAAUUCCUAGAAUCACCAGAGUUAACCUUUCUUCAUCAAUAAAGGCAUACUUAAAAAAAAAAAAAAAAACUGUUACGUGGAUUGCUAAAAGCUUUGUACAUUAUGUUUUUGUGACAAAGCUGAAGACUUGAAACAGCUUUGAAGCUUAAGUCUGGCAGUGCUUCAAAGCUGAGAGAGAUGGCACAGCAUAAAGGGCUUUUCCCCCUUUUCCCCACAUUGAAAUUAAAAAGACUAAGGCAGAAGAAUGUGCUUAAAUUAAGGAAAUAUUAAAACUGGUUUUGCCAAGUGGCUAAGACAUAAUUAAAAAAAAAAAAAAAAAAAAAAAAGUAUGAGUUUCCUUGGUUUAAACACAAAAAAACCCCAGUAGAAUAUGACUGAAACAACUUUUGAAAGACUGGUUGACUAAAUUGCCCAAAUUUAAAGCUAAGAAUCAUAAAAAUUGUUAUGAAACUGAGGUAAAUUGUUAGCAUUUUACAGAGAGAUUUCCUCAUAUUCACACACCAUUUCUUCUUUUUCAGAAUAUUUGAACUAUGUCAUUUUCCUCAGUAGAUCUUUUUGUAAAGAAAACAAGCAACACUUCCUCCUCUGACUAUUCUUCAUUAAAGGACAUUCAAAUUUGCAUUUAAUGAUAGAAAAAGAAGCGAUUAAAUGAAAAAAUAAGACCUUCCAGAUGUGCUGUCAGAAAUGAAAACAACUCCAAAGAGACCCAUGCAUAAUUUCAAGCAAUUAUAUGAUAAAUAAUUUUUCAAAUGGGUAAAACAAUCACCUGACAAAUAUUUUUAUGUAUAGCUGUUCAUAUUUUGGGGCAGACGAAUGGGCUAGAUGGCUUUUCUAACAAAUACAAUUUGGUGCUUUUGGGGUUAUAACAGACAGAAAUGCAGAUUUUACACACAUGUUUAGGUUAGACUAAGUUGUUUUCAUUAUGCUAAAAGAGUACAUGCAUUAAAAAUAUUGCAGGAAUCUCACGUGUUUCAGACUUCUAAGGCAUGGAAUUUUUUUUCCAUUUAGGGCCAAGGAAAAGCUAACAGAAAAUAGACAAAACAGUCUGUACACAGUGUAAUACUGGUGGUGAUCUAGGGAGGAAUACUUUUCAUUCAUCGAGGCAGGAGAUGACAAAGAUACAACAAUGAACUUCAAGGCAGGGAUAUAGAAGUCUAAUCCUAAACUUGUGUUUUUUCGGUACCUAACUUAUAAUCUCUGUGGAGCAAGACAAUAUUCUGAAGCAAUGGAAAAUACUAGUCUGAUAAAGAGCUGCUCUGCCUUGGGCAGCGUGGGAAUGUGACUUAUUACAAUUACAGCUUUUCUUGUCAUGCCUUACUAGGUUUGCAGCACUAUUACAACUUGCCUAAUAGUGCCACAAUAAAACAUCACUCACAUUAACAAUGCAGAUGUCUGUGUCCUCACAGUACUGUUCCUUAAGACUAGCUAGAGCUCCUGCUCGUAAAAAUCCAGACGCCUCAUGUCAAAGCAUCAUCCAAAUACCUGUACCCAAAGUAAAACACCUGUCUUCAGUGAUUAUGUUUUUAAAAGUAAUCGACUCUGUAGAGCUUGUCUGCAUCACAGAAAGUCCUGUUGUCUACUGGCAUCUUUAGAGAUGAAGUUCUUAAUUUCAAGUCCAUGACAUUCAAAAUCAAAACAAACAACCGGAUAACCAGUUUUUUCUAAACAAAUGACACAAACAAACAAAUAAAUAACAUUCAUGGCAACAAAAAUGCAGGGGAAAAAAACACGACACUGUUACAGAAUAUAAACUCAUCUUCUACACUAGCUGAGAGAAAACCUUGUUUAAGAAAGUACAAAGAUAACCAUAAAAAUUCAAUGACCUUCUGUUGUUGCCUAAUAAAACAUACUCCAAGCUAUUUUCACUCCCUUCCUUCUGAAGUGAGCUGCAUUACUAUAAACCCUUCCUAAGCAGGUGAGGACUUCCUACAGUGCUGAUGUUUCUCUGCAGCUUUGCCUUCAGGAGCCAGCAUAUUUUCAAGCAUAGUAUUUCUUGUAUUGUAGCAAAGGGGUACAAACUAUCAUAUGGAAAAUAUUACAUUAAGAUAUUGCACACUUUUCUACUUGAGCAAACUGACUGCAGCCCACACAAGGGAUAUGCAGAAAUCUUUGUUUCUUAUCUAUAAACAAUGUGUUUAUGUGCCACCUUUUCACCCCUCUUGAUUUCAAGGACUAGCUGCUUUUCUCCGCUUUUACUUUUCAGUAAUCAUGGAAGUCAAUAGGGCCUAUAGGUGUUCACAGAAUUCAUCAAAACUGCGCAGCUGAGCAGAUGCAACAUUGAAAAUCUUUUGCUUACUUACAACCAUACAAAUGCUAAACAAAGGUGUCACAAGAUCAGUUGUUUGUUGUAUCUGCUGAUUACCAGAUUACCAGUUUUUUAAAUUCACUAGUUAUUUGCUCAAUUAAAUUUAGUAAUCUAAAUGUGCUGAUACUUUACUAAAGUCACUAAUUAUACUGUGAAUUUCAUAUUAUAGAGUAGCUAGAACAACGGAUCAAUAUAUGAGAUCAAUGAAGAUAUCAAUCAGUACCUCUCCCGCUUCAGAAAGCUAGUAUAUAUAAUAUUGCUUAAAGGAACUAGUUGUGUUUAAAACCAAUAUCCAUAAUUCUGGAGACUAGAUUACUACAAAUAUUUUCAUGCCUUAAGUAAAUAGUGCGAACAGUAUCUGUCUGACAUCAGUGUUUCCUGAAUAAGUCAGAGUGAAAAUAAAACUGAAUUUCUUUGUAAGUAGAAGAUGAUUGCAAACUUGAAAGGCAACUUGUAAAUUCUUUUUUUUUUAGAUUUUGGGAGGAAAAGAAGAAAAGAAACAGCCCUUCAGUGAAACAGACACAUUAUUAUAUUAUUUAUUCCACAUAUAGGGAUUUUUUACAUGGUUUCCAUGCUUUCUUUCUGCAUCCACCCCAUCAACAUUCUUAAAGAACAGACUAAGCAAAAGGAUUAAAAAGCAGCUUUUUUCUGUCAGGUUUGGAACAAUCUCUCUCUGUACCAAUUAGGAUAAUCCCUGGGUGUUGUUUUACAGCAUGUACUGAAGCUUGAUCUCAGAACUAACAUUAUAAUCCAGCCACUAUUAGAAAUAUCAUGCUUAUUUUUUUCACACUAUGAUCUCCUCUGUAGUCAAAGAUUCAUGUGUUUAGCUUGUCAAAACAUCAAUGAUUGACUUUUAUAAAUCUGAGAUGUUAUAUAACUCGUAAAAAGUUAUAUAAUAUUCAUUAUAUUCCUGGCAGUACAAAAAUGUUACCACAAGAAAAUACUAUGUGAGUCUAUUUGUACCUGAUGGGUAUUAUCAGCUACAUCCACAAGUAUUCUCACUUAAAAAUGCAUUUGUUUUCCUUUAGAAGUAAUAACAGUUGUCCAUAAAUAGGUCUUACUUCAUGUUGCAUACAGACUUACAUUCAUGCAAGGGAGUCCAGCAACUUUAUAAUUAAUGUCUUCUACUUCUUUCCUACAAGCCCAUGCAAAUAUAAAACUCAAUGCUUUUUAAUGCUCUGCCAUCCUCAGACGUAGCAGGUGUCAGUUCUUCAUUUCUUCUCAUGCAAAUGUGAUAUUUCCCAGCUCUAAGUAUGUGGUUGUUUGCAGACACAACAGGAAGCACAGUUCUUCUUCUCACACUGGUACAACAGCAAUGGGGCAGAAGGCAUCACUUCUAUGGAACAGAAAUCACUGAAGGAAUGAAAGUAGGACUAUCCUGAAAUAUGGUCAUGUGCCUGAAGUAAGCUGAUAGUUUUUCACAGAAUUUCUGCAAGUCAAUAAGCUCUACCAUUCAAGAAGUUAUCCAGAAUUGGUCUACUAAGGGAAUACUAAAGCACAGAUGUGACGGAUGCACUUGAUUCCAUCCCCCCGACAACCAACCAGCAGCAGUUUGGUCCAGGCUCCGAAGAAGAUAGAGGCCUGAGCUGCAGCCAGGCCAAGAACUCCUUUUAGGAAAGCCCCAAGGAAGCAGAACAGCAACAUUGACAAGUUGUGGGUGCAAGGUGCUCUGUGGUAAUGAUCUUUUACUAAUCACAGAUCACUGGAUAAGCCCAAUUUAAGUUGGGCUUAUUGCAUUUUAAAUAGAAUGCAUUUUAAAUAGAAUGAAUGAGAAUUACUAGGUCACGUGAUUUUAAUAUACUGUCUGUUUCACAUGACUUGGCAAGCUAAAUUUGCUGAAAUCUGUAUGUUGUAAAUUUCUGCUCAUAUUCACCUUACUUGAUGAAAACAAGGGCAGCUGCAGACCGUCAUAGACACUUGUAAGAUAAGGCCUGUUUUGCACUUUGCUGAGCAAAACAGGAUUCAUUCAAACAAAACAACACCUUCAAGACUGGCACAAAGCAGCUGCGGAUUAUGAACAAUGUCUGCAGCUAAAGAAAACAAGGGUCUGUCUGAAGUAAGUGAAAUAAUCCAAUGAGAAGCAAGAAGACUCUAGGCUCAAAUAUUGCUUCUGGACUGAAUCAAGGUGUGAGGGGCAGGAAAAUAGUCUGUAAGGGACUUCUUUGCCUGGCUUGGCUUCUCUGUGAAGGCACUCAGCUCAAGCCAACUCUGCUGCCGUACUACUCCAAUAAAAUGUUUAUUUCUAUGAACUUUGAUGCCUGAGAGCUUGGUUCAAGAGACCUAGGAUCAAGACUUCAGAGAGACCUGGCACUAGACCUCUAGAGGAAAGGUAAGCAGAUAAGAUGUAAAAAGAUUAAACUUUCAAGUUCUAGCCAAGUGAUAUAAAGAAUCGGGUGUGCACAUACAACCCUUUUGUCAUAAAUACAUAAAAUCCCUCUUUUUCCUCAACUCUACAUCUCCUAGACACAAACUGUUGAUCAAGUCUGGGGCUAAAUUUGGAUCCAGUUGCACCUAGAUUCCUCUCUGAGAAGGAGUUUAGAAAGCAAAGCGGUCCAUUCUGAACCUCAUGACUCAAUGGGAGGGCUUCCCUCUACCCUUUCACAUCUCCUAUCCUCAUAUAAAUCACUCAAAACCAACUCUCACCCAAUUCUCCUUGGCCUGUUUCCCCCUGCAGUAAGUGAGAGAGUGAAACUUGCCACUGAACUCUGUUAAGUUGCACUUUUCUUUGAGUGAUCUAAACACUGAUCUGCAACAAGCAGGACCCUAAAUCACUCAUCCAUGACAACAGCUCACAUAGAUCAGUUUAUCACCAGUUUAAUCAGUUAAAAAUAAUACUGUAUAUUUUGUGGUAUUAUGUUACCACCUCAGCAAUUCAUUAGCAUACCAUGUAAGUAUGUCAGUGCACAUGUGACUAUAGUAUAACAGUAUGUUAAAAGGUAAAUAAAAUAUUUUAGAGAAGCAAAGUCUCCCCAAUUGUGCUAACAGUUUUUCUAGCCAAAUUCCACUGAAGUGGAAAGGAAGAGGUGAAAAGUUCUGUCUGUGAAUCAGUGGGUAACAGUUCGCCAGCUGCCCAAAUUAUUUUCAAGUACUUUGGCACAUCUCUAGAUAAAAAUUAUUAUGGUUCAGAGGAUUUGAUGUAGACAGGAACAUUUAUCAAACUAUAACCAAACUUUUUCAAUUUACAUUAGUGAAGUUAUGAAGCUGAACUAUGGCAGGCACUUCCACUAAUCUAUUAGUUAAAGAAAAAAAGCCACAAAGCAUGACAUGCCUUCAAAUCUAUCGAUAUCUGUAAGCAGAUGUGUAUAUUCAGGAAUGCAUUUAAAGCGUCAUUAAUACUAAUACAGAAAGAUACUGCAGUCAUCUUUCAUAACCAUAGGUUUCAUGGAUGCAGUCUGCCUGAACAACCUUCUUCAGCUCACAGUGUUCAUCUCUCUUGUAGAAAUGGCUCAGCAUUUUCAUUCAUCAUUUGAAUGAGGUGUGGUAAAGCUACUUUUUUUUUUUUUUUUUUUUUUUUCCCCGAAGCUGAACUAGUGCAUUUUCAUGGACUGUGCUUUCUGAGCCCAUUAAUAGUAAUGAUGUUAUAUGGUUCACUCUAGUCCUUUCCAUGGCCUGCUGCUCACAUCAGAGCAAGUAAUAAAGAGGCAAAGCACUCCUGUAUGGAAAUGCCUGGCUUCACUGGAGUGGGGUGAGUGGAGAGCAGUUAAAAGCAUCAACUAAUAGAAUCUGCUCUUUUGUCCAAACAAAGGAACAAGUAAGCAAGUACAAACAGAAGAUGGACCCACUGGAAAUAGACAUUUACUCCAGUAUUUUCUUACUCAUUUUUAACUGAAUUUCCUGCUCAUACACAUUCACAGGAUUAAACAAAGAGGUCUCUUUUAUGGGCUACACAGGAUAUUAUUUUGAACUGCGUAUUAAUUGCAUUCUGCUAGAUAUGUGAAUAAAAGUCAAAGCUCGCAAUCCUAUGCCCUAUGAAGCUUAUCAGCUGUGCCAAAUUAUCAUCACAUUUUGAGCUAUGCUGCAUCCAUAAUUUCUCCAUUUUCAAAUAAUUUUACAGCAUCCAGAAUCAUGAUGAUCACUGUGCUUUGAAGUAGUCUUCAAAUUUUGUAUUUGUGUGGAGAAAGAGAUUAAUCAAUUCAUUGGGAAAUUGCUCAUCUUCCUUCCUAUCCUCCAAGAGCUGGGCUGCUGACAUCCAUAUGCAGUUUCUCCCCCACCUUUUCUCUUCAAAGAUCAGUUGUCCAAAUAAGCUGUACACUUUGGGGCUGUUAAAUAUCUGUCUUCCAGAGGACUCUAAAUGUGUCUUUAUGACACUGGUCUAAGCUGGGUGUCACAGUACAGAAAAUAUAACUCAAGGGAGAUCAAACUGAUACUCUCAGCUCAGGACUGCUCUGACCUAGAAUGAGUGAGCGUACUUAAGUUUGUAAACUACAACAGUGCUGCAUGGCCACCCUACCGUGCUCCACUGAAUUUUCUGCUUCUUGAAUGCCAACACCAUCUAAACAUACUAUCUUAAUGUCUUAACAGAAAAAGAAUCUUUUUCUUCAGAGAGGUUCCCUCAAAACCCUAAGGAAAACCCAUAGAGAAUUGACCAUAAUUGCCAUUCAGCACUAUACAGAAGAACAGCAAUCGACAGGAGUGGAAAGGACCCAUUUUCUGUUGAUCAACAGUAGUAUGGAGGGGACAAAAUAAGAAAAAAAAAAAUCUGUUUCGCUUUUUUCUUUUAAUUUUAUAAUUAUUUACAUUUUCGUCUGUUCACUUACUUUCACACCACGGAUGUAUCUUUCCCUUGUUCAGAGAACACCGACAUUUUUCAGGUAAAUCAGACACAAAAGACUACAGACCAGCAAUGAUGCCUGCAGAUAACCUAGAUGCCAUUAAUUAGAAGUCAUACUUGCCUUAAGAAAGCCAUGGCUGUUGUAUCAGAGACCAAAUGAAUUAACCCAGACUGUUUUUUGAGAGACAUGUCAUUAUGAAUAACCUCCACAGGCAUGUCUUUUAAAUGCAAAAUGAUCCUGAAUCCUGAAUACCAAAUCUCUCUGAAACUUAAAGAAAAAGUGACACCACCUCUGUUUUAAGAAUGUAAUCUUAAUUUCCUGUCUACAGAAUCAUAAGAACCAAAUUGUUCAAUAUUCACAAACCUUAAUUGGUGGGGCUUUCAAAGCAGCCUUCGUAGAUACUACACAACUUGCAAAUGUGCUUUUGUAAAAUAAGCUGAAAAGGGGCUAAGAAAACAUGUUUUUUUCUUCAAAAGUAUGUUAAUUUCAUUGAUGAGUUAAAGGACAAAAAUGCUUGUGCCCAGAGGAUGAUGAAGAAAGCAUCAGCAACAAGUAAAACUCAAAUAUUGCUGCAUAGCAGGAUACGUUUAACUUCCUUUUGCAAAGACAAACAGACACUGAGAGGACUUUUACGGGGAAGAAAUUGCAGAAUGACUCACAGGUCUUUGAUCCAAUCAUGGGGGAAACUGCUCUGGCAGGUCUAUUUACUCUUAAUCCCAUGCUCCCGUGUCUGACAGAGCAGCACUAUCAGAGAGUUGAUCAGCAAGCUGUAUAAUGCAGAGAGGUCAGAAUCAAUAAGGAUUUGCUUCUGACAUUACAGAGCUGAACACCACACUUCACGGAGCAGUUCUUUUAACUAAAAAUAUCUUCCUGAUUGCAGGCCACCUCUUAUUUUAGCACCAGUCACUGAGAUGAAGAAAGCAUUCACCAGCAAAGGUAUCAUUUAUUUAUUAGGAUUCCAAGUGGGGGACAGCAGUGAAGCAAUAUCUUUCCCAUGGAUUUCAGCAGAAUGGAAACAAUGCUAUGAUAAAAUGCCUGUUUUGUUAGAAUUAAGUUUGAGAAAUCCUUACUCCUUGAAGAUCAGCUGUGCUUAAAAAUCCACAUGCUUGGUAAGAUCUAUUGUACCAGAUCAGAACAAAGGAUCAUUUGGCCCAUUUUUUUAAUCUAUAAAAGUGGAUGAAAGUGAAAGUCCAGGAAAAGCCAUAUAAAAAACAAUGAUAUAAUAAUACUUUCUAGUUAUAGCCUCCCCAAUUCUAAAGAUCUGACUCAGGAAACUGCUGAAUCAUAGACAAUAAUUUUGGAACUCUGUACACCUUCACAUAUUAUUCUUCCACUAACUUCACCAGGAUAAACCAUGUUCUAAUGAAAAAAAAGAACAGCAGAUACGCAGCACUCAUGAGCCAAAAUUCUGAUUAUUUAGAUUCCACUGAUAAUUUCAAGUAGUCAGAAAUUCACUGUGUAGGUCAGAAUCUAAACAUGACUUUUGUGAACAAGGGGCUCCUGUAAUAUAAUCCCUAUUUCAAAUCACAUUAUAAAAUGUACAUGUGUUUCCCUAAUAUGUGGAUGUAGCCGUGUGUCUCAUCAUACUUUCUACAAUUUUUAGUUUUGGUAAAAUAACCAGUGCUAAAACUCUCAUUCAUCAGUUCCCAAAAUAUAAACACAAGCUACUUAAAAAUGUCCAAUUUUCUUAUCAUUCAACUUGCUUUUAUGGAUUUGCCUUUUUUAUUCAACCUGCUCUCUCAGUAAAAUUCUUUCCCAACAUUCUAAGAAGGAACUACAGUUAUAUUACUAAUACCACAAGUGACUGAAGUGUUUGCUCUUAUUUUGUUUUUGGGUAACGGGAAAAAGAAGCAUGAUUUGACUCAGAAAAGGUGGACUGUUUUUAAAAAUGGUCUCACAGUGAAAGCUAACUUUCAAGAAGAGGGGGUAGAUUAUGCAAGAAAACAGGAACAGAAGGUAAUAGCAGGAAGAAGAGAGUAUGUGAGGCUGUUGACCCAAACUAAUGGGAUCUGGAAGGAUGUAAAAUGUUAUCCGUCUUGGAGGGAGAGUGUAAGAGUACAUUUGAACUGCUUUUCACCCUCACGGUUGACUCUCCAGAGAGACGAACUCCAGCGUGAGUUAAAUCAGGAUUUGAAGAAAAGCCAUUAAAAAAACCCUGAAAACUGAGGAAAAUAAAAAAUUAAGGUAUGUAUCAGUCCACUGCACAUUGUGUGAGGUAAGGAGGUUGCUAAGUUGAGAUGAAGUGGCAAGUAAGAACACUGCUUGAUAGACUUGCUAGGUAAAUCGGUGGAUCCAGCUGAAUAUACAGAUUACAUAACCAAGGAAGAGCACAAAAGCAAUUAAUCAAUAUAUGUGCAUACAGCCUACUCUGACCCCUCACCAUCACUCCCCCCAGCUAAAGCAAAACUAAGCACCCAACAAGCCCAGAACAGCAAACUCCAGUGGAAACCCGCUUACCCAAAACCCUAAGGCUCCAGAGAGAUUAUUCAUGUGCUAGUGGCUUCUAAAGGAUUAAUGGCUAAAUAAAAUAUGGUAGGAAAAGUUUGGCAGAGAGGCUAGAGAACUGCUGCAAACAGGCCAACUCAUUCCCUCUUAUUUCCACAGCAUUGUUAAGAAUGGUACAUUCAUUUAUCUAGUGUCCCACUUCAACAUCUCUGCAGUAAGAACUUCACUUUUCCCUUCCUCCCAUACACAGUAACUGAAAUGAGGUAUAGCUCAACAAUAUGUACUCUUCUUCCCUUUUAUCAAAAGAAAAAUGGGGAUGCUUUGAUAACCUGAAAGAGGCAAAAGGCUGUUAGAAUUCUUCAUGUCACAAAAGAUCAGCCAAACUGCCUGGAUCACCUGUCUGCAGUCCCUCCCCUACUAAAUCUUCUGGCUAAUCCUCCUGCAAGCAAUAUAUGUAUGUCCAACAUAAUGAUGUUAGUAGACAGUAUGCAGGUAAUGCUAGAGAUCGCUUUCUGCCUCUGAAAGGGACACAUUACAGGUUGUAUCACCCUGUGCCUUAACUCCACAUUUGUUUUCAGAGGCUUGUGUUUUGCUGAAGUUGAUCAUCUGGAUGGGCACAAGAUAUCUGGCAACAUUAAAUUAAUAACAUUCAGAGAA